UGAACAUGUAACUUCUCAACGGAAAUAGGAAGAGAACAUAAACAAGCAUAAGCACACUUGCACACACUUAAUGCACAUCUACAUACCUACACUCGUACUAUCAUACAUUCACUAUCUAUUCUUAUAGUAUGCAUUCAUAUUCUCACUGUGCGACAUUCAAUGUCGUCCAGCGGUCAAGUGUACGCGCAUCAUAUUGCAGCAACUAUGAGAAUUAUAAAAUAAAAGUAGCAGCAAUCAGCGAAUUUGUUCGUCAAAGCAAGCCGUUUAAACUUCAUGUAUGUCUGUAUUUACAAGUAUAUGCAAAUAUGUCUGACAACAAACAUAUCUUCGCACACAUACAUGCACGUCAGGAAGGUGUUUUGCGCGCUGGCGUAUUGACCUUUGAAGUGCAUUCAACUGUAAAAAGGAGAGCAUGUUCGUGCGAAACAGUUUAUUGAACUGAAGAGGUUAAUGAUGUUGAAAAUACUCAAUUAUAUGUACAUACGCACACACCACAAUACCAACCAUAUCUACAUACCAUACUCGUACAUACCCUCUAGACAAGGAAUUCUCGCAAUGACCUGCUGAAUGUUCGAUAUUCUAUUUUAGUAAAGAAUUAUAAAUUUGACAUUAAUUUUGUUUGAAAUUGAAAAAAGGCCGACGACCAAACGACGCCAU